UGGGGAAUAUUGCACAAUGGGCGCAAGCCUGAUGCAGCCAUGCCGCGUGUGUGAAGAAGGCCUUCGGGUUGUAAAGCACUUUCAGCGAGGAGGAAGGUGGUGAACUUAAUACGUUCAUCAAUUGACGUUACUCGCAGAAGAAGCACCGGCUAACUCCGUGCCAGCAGCCGCGGUAAUACGGAGGGUGCAAGCGUUAAUCGGAAUUACUGGGCGUAAAGCGCACGCAGGCGGUUUGUUAAGUCAGAUGUGAAAUCCCCGGGCUCAACCUGGGAACUGCAUUUGAAACUGGCAAGCUAGAGUCUCGUAGAGGGGGGUAGAAUUCCGGGUGUAGCGGUGAAAUGCGUAGAGAUCUGGAGGAAUACCGGUGGCGAAGGCGGCCCCCUGGACGAAGACUGACGCUCAGGUGCGAAAGCGUGGGGAGCAAACAGGAUUAGAUACUCUGGUAGUCCACGCUGUAAACGAUGUCGAUUUUGGAGGUUGUGCCCUUGAGGCGUGGNUUCCGGAGCUAACGCGUUAAAUCGACCGCCUGGGGAGUACGG
rnacentral:rRNA from 1 species